rnacentral:rRNA from 1 species
GAGUUUGAUCCUGGCUCAGAACGAACGCUGGCGGCAGGCCUAACACAUGCAAGUCGAGCGCACCUUCGGGUGAGCGGCGGACGGGUGAGUAACGCGUGGGAAUAUGCCCAGAUCUACGGAAUAGCCUCGGGAAACUGAGAGUAAUACCGUAUACGCCCUUCGGGGGAAAGAUUUAUCGGAUUUGGAUUAGCCCGCGUUAGAUUAGGUAGUUGGUGGGGUAAUGGCCUACCAAGCCUACGAUCUAUAGCUGGUUUGAGAGGAUGAUCAGCCACACUGGGACUGAGACACGGCCCAGACUCCUACGGGAGGCAGCAGUGGGGAAUCUUAGACAAUGGGGGAAACCCUGAUCUAGCCAUGCCGCGUGAGUGACGAAGGCCCUAGGGUCGUAAAGCUCUUUCAGCUGUGAAGAUAAUGACGGUAGCAGCAGAAGAAACCCCGGCUAACUCCGUGCCAGCAGCCGCGGUAAUACGGAGGGGGUUAGCGUUGUUCGGAAUUACUGGGCGUAAAGCGCGCGUAGGCGGACUAGUCAGUCAGAGGUGAAAUCCCAGGGCUCAACCCUGGAACUGCCUUUGAUACUGCUAGUCUUGAGUUCGAGAGAGGUGAGUGGAAUUCCGAGUGUAGAGGUGAAAUUCGUAGAUAUUCGGAGGAACACCAGUGGCGUAGGCGGCUCAUCGGCUCGAUACUGACGGUGAGGUGCGAAAGUGUGGGGAGCAAACAGGAUUAGAUACCCUGGUAGUC